UGGUAAUGGUGAUGGUGAUGUUGGUGAUGGUGGUUAUGUGAUGGUGAUAGUGAUGGUGAUGUAAUGAUGAUGGUGAUGGUAGUGAUGUGAUGAUAGUCAUGGUGAUGUGAUGAUAGUCAUGGUGAUGUGAUGAUGCUGCUGAUGGUGAUGGGGAUGAUGAUGUGAAUGGUGAUGAUGAUGUUGGUGAUAGUGAUGAUGUGGUGGUGAUAGUCAUGGUGAUGUGAUU
rnacentral:lncRNA from 10 species